UGGGCUGGGCCAACAGGGCUUCAUACAGGUGUAGGAGGGUGUAACAUGGCGUCACUGGGGAGUGGGCUGGGCCAACAGGGCUUCAUACAGGUGUAGGAGGGUGUAACAUGGCGUCACAGGGGAGUGGGCGGGGCUACUGGGGUUCAUACAGGUGUAGAAGGGUGUAACAUGGCGUCACAGGGGAGUGGGCGGGGCUAUGGGGCUUCAUACAGGUGUAGAAGGGUGUAACAUGGCGUCACUGGGGAGUGGGCGGGGCUACAGGGCUUCAUACAGGUGUAGAAGGGUGUAACAUGGCGUCACAGGGGAGUGGGCGGGGCUAUGGGGCUUCAUACAGGUGUAGAAGGGUGUAACAUGGCGUCACAGGGGAGUGGGCGGGGCUACUGGGCUUCAUACAGGUGUAGAAGGGUGUAACAUGGCGUCACUGGGGAGUGGGCGGGGCUACUGGGGUUCAUACAGGUGUAGAAGGGUGUAACAUGGCGUCACUGGGGAGUGGGCGGGGCUACUGGGGUUCAUACAGGUGUAGAAGGGUGUAACAUGGCGUCACUGGGGAGUGGGCGGGGCUACAGGGCUUCAUACAGGUGUAGGAGGGUGUAACAUGGCGUCACUGGGGAGUGGGCGGGGCUACAGGGGUUCAUACAGGUGUAGAAGGGUGUAACAUGGCGUCACAGGGGAGUGGGCGGGGCUACAGGGGUUCAUACAGGUGUAGAAGGGUGUAACAUGGCGUCACAGGGGAGUGGGCGGGGCUACUGGGCUUCAUACAGGUGUAGAAGGGUGUAACAUGGCGUCACUGGGGAGUGGGCGGGGCUACUGGGGUUCAUACAGGUGUAGAAGGGUGUAACAUGGCGUCACAGGGGAGUGGGCGGGGCUACUGGGCUUCAUACAGGUGUAGAAGGGUGUAACAUGGCGUCACUGGGGAGUGGGCUGGGCCAACAGGGCUUCAUACAGGUGUAGAAGGGUGUAACAUGGCGUCACAGGGGAGUGGGCGGGGCUAUGGGGGUUCAUACAGGUGUAGGAGGGUGUAACAUGGCGUCACAGGGGAGUGGGCGGGGCUAUGGGGCUUCAUACAGGUGUAGAAGGGUGUAACAUGGCGUCACAGGGGAGUGGGCGGGGCUACUGGGGUUCAUACAGGUGUAGAAGGGUGUAACAUGGCGUCACAGGGGAGUGGGCGGGGCUACUGGGGUUCAUACAGGUGUAGAAGGGUGUAACAUGGCGUCACUGGGGAGUGGGCGGGGCUACAGGGGUUCAUACAGGUGUAGAAGGGUGUAACAUGGCGUCACUGGGGAGUGGGCGGGGCUACUGGGGUUCAUACAGGUGUAGAAGGGUGUAACAUGGCGUCACUGGGGAGUGGGCGGGGCUACUGGGGUUCAUACAGGUGUAGAAGGGUGUAACAUGGCGUCACUGGGGAGUGGGCGGGGCUACAGGGGUUCAUACAGGUGUAGAAGGGUGUAACAUGGCGUCACUGGGGAGUGGGCGGGGCUACAGGGGUUCAUACAGGUGUAGAAGGGUGUAACAUGGCGUCACUGGGGAGUGGGCGGGGCUACAGGGCUUCAUACAGGUGUAGGAGGGUGUAACAUGGCGUCACUGGGGAGUGGGCGAGGCUACUGGGCUUCAUACAGGUGUAGAAGGGUGUAACAUGGCGUCA